rnacentral:rRNA from 1 species
UACGGGGGGGGCAAGCGUUGUUCGGAUUUACUGGGCGUAAAGCGCACGUAGGCGGAUCGUUAAGUCGGGGGUGAAAUCCUGGAGCUCAACUCCAGAACUGCCUUCGAUACUGGCGAUCUCGAGUCCGGAAGAGGUGAGUGGAACUCCUAGUGUAGAGGUGGAAUUCGUAGAUAUUAGGAAGAACACCAGUGGCGAAGGCGACUCACUGGUCCGGUACUGACGCUGAGGUGCGAAAGCGUGGGGAGCAAACAGG